rnacentral:rRNA from 1 species
CAUCAGUCAGGUGGUGCAUGGCUGUCGUCAGCUCGUGUCGUGAGAUGUUGGGUUAAGUCCCGCAACGAGCGCAACCCUUAUUCUUAGUUGUUUCCCUUUGGGAUUUACCCUCUAAGAAGACUGCCUCGGGAUAACGGGGAGGAAGGUGGGGAUGACGUCAAGUCCGCAUGCUCCUUACGUCUAGGGCUACACACGUCCUACAAUGGGGUCGACAAUGGGAUGCAAUAUCGCAAGAUGGAGCCAAUCCCCAAACGGCCUCUCAGUUCGGAUUGUAGUCUGCAACUCGACUACAUGAAGUUGGAAUCGCUAGUAAUGGCAGAUCAGCAUGCUGCCGUGAAUACGUUCCCGGGUCUU